rnacentral:rRNA from 1 species
AUUGAACGCUGGCGGCAUGCUUUACACAUGCAAGUCGAACGGCAGCGCGGGCUUCGGCCUGGCCGCGCGUGGCGAACGGGUGAGUAAUACAUCGGAACGUGCCCAGCAGUGGGGGCUAGCUCGGCGAAAGCCGGAUUAAUACCGCAUACGACCUGAGGGUGAAAGCGGGGGAUCUUCGGACCUCGCGCUAUUGGCGCGGCCGAUGGCGGAUUAGCUAGUUGGUGGGGUAAAGGCCUACCAAGGCGACGAUCUGUAGCUGGUCUGAGAGGACGACCAGCCACACUGGAACUGAGACACGGCCCAGACUCCUACGGGAGGCAGCAGUGGGGAAUUUUGGACAAUGGGCGAAAGCCUGAUCCAGCAAUGCCGCGUGUGUGAUGAAGGCCUUCGGGUUGUAAAGCACUUUUGGCGGGAACGAAAAGGACUGUGCCAAUACCACGGUUCGAUGACGGUACCCGCAGAAUAAGCACCGGCUAACUACGUG